UACGUAGGGUGCAAGCGUUAAUCGGAAUUACUGGGCGUAAAGCGUGCGCAGGCGGCUAUGCAAGACAGAUGUGAAAUCCCCGGGCUCAACCUGGGAACUGCAUUUGUGACUGCAUGGCUAGAGUACGGUAGAGGGGGAUGGAAUUCCGCGUGUAGCAGUGAAAUGCGUAGAUAUGCGGAGGAACACCGAUGGCGAAGGCAAUCCCCUGGACCUGUACUGACGCUCAUGCACGAAAGCGUGGGGACGAACAG
rnacentral:rRNA from 1 species